UGGACUUCAUACAAACAUCUGCAGGCAGUGCUCUAUGUGUCAAACCCAUGCCAUACCCAGAGAUGAGCAUCCAAAGGGGCUCUUUGAGGAUGGGAUAUUCCCCUCCAUGAGCUGCUGGCUUUGCACCAGCAGUUCCUCGCAUUCCAACCCUCUUCUCCCUCUCCCCUUGCCCCUUCCCUCCCCCUGUGAUAUGAUGCAUUGGCAGUGAAAUAAAACAACCAGCUAUUGCAUUAUUACUUUCCACCCCUACUUCCCUCCCGGGCAUCUGUAUUUCUGCAAAUGUUUUUAAUAUUUGCUAAUAAAAGCAGCUCCAGUAGUGACAUGCUCUCUUCCCAAGACAAAAUUGCCGGGACUGGCCUUAUCUAACAAACUCCUUUUGGCACAAGCACGGCUCCUACGAGCCAUUUCUGCCCAUUCACAGGAUUAUCAGCCAUCUCUGCAGCCAGCCCCAGCCCUCCUCUCUCAUUCCUAGUUAAUUGGUGUGAAAUUGGAGCAAGUUCUCAGGUGAUAAUGUGUUUGCAUUUACUGCUUCACUGAACCACCCUAGCCACUCAAUCCCAGCUUCAUUAAAGCCUCAAUCUCAGCUUUUGCUCCUGGCUGUGAGCUUCAAACCCUAUUUCCUGCGUGGCAGACAUACAGCCUAACACAUGUCAGGAAGACAGCUUGAGCGGAGCUGCUGGGAACAAGCAAAGCUACUGCCUGGGCGCCGCUCCGGGGGAAUCACGUUCACGGUGGGAAUGAUGCUCGGAGUCCCCGUGAUGGCUUCAUGCUGGGUUGCACUUUGAAGAUAAAAAGCCUUCGCCUGAAUUCUGUGAUUAGUAUUUAAAGACUCGAGCGAAAUAUUUGGAGGCAGAAAAAAACCCUAACCGAGGAAUGCCUGUGUUCAAACAUUCAAUAGGGCCUAUUCACAGGAUCGGAUUCCAGGGUUAUUAUUAGCAAUAAGGUUAUCUUUGGCAUCAUCUUUUUAUGCACAACAUGCUACUGGAUUCCACCCUCCCCUUUCUCUCGGGCCCUGGGGCAGACGGUAUACAAAUUAGAGCUGGUUCAAGCCUUGUGUUUUUCAUGCAGGCAGAGCUGAAGUUAGGCGAGGUCUGCCGCAGUUAUAUUUAGGACCAUCCAUAAGGCUUUUUGGUGUAACAUACAUGUCUAAGGAUGCUCCAAUGCAGGGGAAAAAGUGUUGCUGCUGGGGUAGCUUCAGCCCCACCAGCACAUGCUGCUGCAAAGCUGCCAUCCAUUAGGGACAUUGGUGAAACCCCAUGGGGUGACCCUUCAAACUGUGCAUGGAAAGGGAUGGGUUGGGCUGCUCCUACUCCUGUAGGUCACGGAGGCGGCUCCGAGCAUCUUCCCCGGCGCGUGAGAUCUCACAGGUCUGGACACAGGUCUGGGUUUGGACAGGUCUGGACAUAGCUGGGGAGAAUGAACCCCUGCCAGAUGCACCACAAUGAGAACCUCUCUUUUGGGGAGCCAAAAGCACCUCUCGGCCAGAUUGGAUGUGCCCAAAGGGUCUUGCCUGCUCCCAACCCCUGUCCCAAGAGACACAAGGGUGGCUGGGUGGGUUGUGGGCACAAAAGCAGAGAGCAGCUGCCUGCUGCCUCUUAGGUUGGGUGUAUUCCUAGCUGCUGGAAAGCUGCAGGUAGGAGUUGGGGUUUUGCUGCUGUUGUUGUUGGGGUUUUUGGGUUGAUGGUGGGUGUGAUUUUUCAAACGCGCUCCUCUUUGGCACAUCUCUACCGGCGACGUCAGUGAAAGCCCCGGGAUGCCUCCGCCAAAACCCAGGAGCACCUUCCUUUGAAACCCGCCCUGUGCGUCUCCCCACAUCCAACCACCAGGAAUUGCUGGUGGGAGGAGGCGAGGCCACAUUCAGCGGCCAUCCAUCACCCCAGACAGCUCUGCUGCUGCACCGAGUCACCCUAAAACAGCCUCCAAAACCCGGGAUGCUCAUGCGUGACCAGGGUCUCCAUCUCGGAUGCAGGCAGAGCCAAAACACAUAGAGGCACAUUAAAGGAUGGGCAGUGUGGCUUUGAAAUGGUGCAGCAAUCCCCUGUAGCCUAGUUUUUAGAGAAAGUAUUUUGUAGCUGGUUAUUCUCUUUGUGACUAAACAUGGUUAUUAGGCCCCAAGUGCAUCAUUAAACCUGUUAUUAAAAGUAAACAUGUAAAGGGGAAUAUACUGGUGUGCAGCAAGCUCAUUCAGGGCGCUGGACCCUCUGAAAAAGUCAUUAACAUUUGUAUGUAAAGUGAAGGUAGUUAAGAACAUAUUGGGCUAAUUCAGGGCCUUAGAGCUAUUAAAAUGAACUAUCAUUAAAAAUAAAUAUGUAAGGCAGAAUAUGUUGCAUAAUUAGAAUUAUUACAGUGUUUACUCCGAUUGUUUUUUAUGCUGGCCUCUCACUUAAGAGGUUAUUUGUAUGUAUGUAUGUGUGUUUUCUAUAUAUAUACAUACACAGUAAUGUUCCUAGCUAUAUAUAUAUUUGGUUAUCUAUUGUGUUAAAAUGACCCUGUAGGUUAAAUUUGACUUCCUUGUUGCAGGAUGAGACAGAGCCCUGGCAGGAUGAAGCCUUGGAUAAAACCUGGUGUGGGGGGGUUGGAAUAACACGUAAAUCUUGGCUCUAUGUAA